rnacentral:sRNA from 1 species
UAUGUUCUGAUGCGAAAACCUCAACAAUAUUGUAAUUCUAAAUCACAGGUCUGUAUUAGAGAAUAUGUUGCUGUAUAUGACAACUCUGUUUGAGACAGGAGACAUCUUAACCUCAACAUCAUUUAGGAUUUGGAGUUGGAGUUUCAGGUAGUUGUAACUUCUGCAUGGUGCUGGAAACUAAACUUUGGUCAUCUGGAAGAUCAACAAGUACUCUUACCUGCUGAGCCACCUCUCCAGCCCUGAGAAAGGAUAGUCUAUAAUGGCUGGAUCAAAGGCAUUCCCAUUGAUGGUGAAAGAAAGUGCCUGAUUGUCUCUAUGCUUACCAGUGCCACAAGCUUUCAUUGUCUGCAUGAAGUCCUUGCUUUUCAGUGGCACAGUUAAGAUUGCAGUGCCUGGAAUGAGCAGCCCAUGAGAGCUCCCGUCAAGCUGAUUUCCAGUUGAAUGUGCUAUCUGGACCAUCUCCUCAAACAGAAUAUUGGAAUUCACAGGAAUUCGCAGAUUCUACAUCGUAACUCUGAAACACAGACCCGGGUAUGUCCAGGACCAACCUCGUGCAUGGUAUUUUCCGACUGCUGAAGUGCUUCAUGCAAAUAAGCCUCCCCAGUAUGCCGCUUACAUCCAUUUGGUUUUCUUUCUGAUUACACUGUAGCUGGUGAGGGAUGCUGGUGUGUCUGUAUGUGUCAAAACCUAAGAAACACAACAAGGUGGGGUGGAAUAGAUAACACGUUAAGCCCCCAACGCAGUUUGAUAUAUGACCUCACACAAGUUCCUUAACCACCCUGACCUCAGUUCUUUCAUUUGUAAACCAAGUAAUACAAGAACCUGCCAUGGUACCAAUUUAGAAGGAAGAAGUGACUACAGGAGACACAUACAGAGUAAUCCCCAGCACAGAGCGAACCCUAAGUAAAUUGCAGUGAUGUGAAAGAUGUGCUGAUUCUUGUCGACCUCCUCAAAAUACUUCACCAUGUUCAAUAAGCUUGUCCAAAUAGAAAAUGAAGUCUCGGAGGACACACCCCACUGGGGUGACUACUAGACUAGGAAGUCUGCUGUGACAAUAUUUUGUUGUUGUUUGUUUCAACUGGCAUACGGUAUGGUUUAAUGUUGAUGUAAGCUUAUUCACAUUUUAUAGACUCGCAGCGUUUCUGUCUGUUGAAAGCAUCCUAUGAUAUGAAGGACACGAAUAAUCCAACACUUCUCAUGUGGAGGCAGAAGCAAGUGGCGGUCACCGAGGUUAACGAGCAUGGUUGCAGAGACACCAUUGCUUGGGAAAUUUUGGUUAUUACCAGAUAAGGAGCUCAUAGAGAGAUUGACAUUUUGCCAUAGCAACAACUUUGGUUGCUUACAGCUUGGGCUUUAAAUAGCUCAAGAGAUGAUACGGUUUAAGAUUAAAAGGCCGAACAGAGCAUGUGCUUAUACAUGCUCAAUUCAUGCCUUGCAGACAGUGACUAGUGCAGGUUUUCUUUUUUUAUUAUUCCAUUCCUACCUAGGUGCUGUUAUUUGUUUCCAUGACACUGGCUUUGGGAAAGACAUUGAGCACAUUCAGUCAUUACAAGUGAUGGAUUAGAUAGUAAUUGAUGUUUGCUAUGAAACUCACAUCUGGGCCUUCCACCAACUGAGAGCCAGUUUGAUUUGAUCUGGCAAAAGGAGUUUUAAAGCAUUUGGCUUUGAAAUUACAAUGAUUUAUAGAAAAGUACCUCUCACGAUGACUAUCAGCUGGUAGCAGGUUGAGUUCCCAGAAAAAGCGCUUUCAUUAUCCUGAUUUCUCCAAACGGCAAUGAUCUAGUUCUUGUUCUCAACCUGCCUCCCGGGGCUGUGUCUUCCCAUGCUAGGAUGGAGUGCAGUGGGCUGUAAAUUAUUUGGCAUUAUUGGAUAGUACUGGGAUUACCAAAACCGAGAAUGAAGCACUUUGUUCCACAAAGUUAGAAUUUUUAAAGCUUUGUAAAUUUAUGUGAAAAAGAAUAUAUUAUUUUCGUUUGAUUCAAAGGACAUAGAAUUCUUCUUACACUGUCAGGACCUUAAAUUCUAUUUUUCUCACUCCUACGCCUCCCCUUUCUGUCAUAUUUAUUUCCCUAGUGAAUAACUUAAAAGCACUGAAGCUCUCCUUCUUCUCCUGCCUUCUCCCUUUCCAAGAAAACUUGCAGAAAUCUGAUCUGUCUUUCAUUCUUGUUGCUGGAUUUUACCUUAGCAUGACUAAGUUUCUGUGUAUACGUUAU